AGAGUUUGAUCAUGGCUCAGAAUCAACGCUGGCGGCGUGCCUAACACAUGCAAGUCGAGCGAGAAAGGGGGGGCAACUCCCUGAGUAAAGCGGCGCACGGGUGAGUAACACGUGGGUAAUCUGCCCUGGAGUGGGGAAUAACACCGGGAAACCGGUGCUAAUACCGCAUACGAUAGCGAGGUCUGCGGACUUUGUUAUGAAAGGAGCAAUUCGCUCUAGGAGGAGCCCGCGGCUGAUUAGCUAGUUGGUGAGGUAACGGCUCACCAAGGCUACGAUCAGUAUCCGGUCUGAGAGGACGGUCGGACACACUGGAACUGAGACACGGUCCAGACUCCUACGGGAGGCAGCAGUGGGGAAUUUUUGGCAAUGGGGGCAACCCUGACCAAGCAACGCCGCGUGGGUGAUGAAGUCUCUUGGGACGUAAAACCCUUUCGACGGGGAAGAAAACCGCAAGGUUUGACGGUACCCGUAGAAGAAGCCCCGGCUAACUCCGUGCCAGCAGCCGCGGUAAUACGGGGGGGGCAAGCGUUGUUCGGAAUUACUGGGCGUAAAGGGCGCGUAGGCGGUCCGCUAAGUUGGAUGUGAAAACUCUGGGCUUAACCCAGAGCCUGCAUUCAAAACUGACGGGCUAGAGUUCUGGAGGGGGUAGCGGAAUUCCUGGUGUAGCGGUGAAAUGCGUAGAUAUCAGGAGGAACACCGGUGGCGAAGGCGGCUACCUGGACAGAAACUGACGCUGAGGCGCGAAAGCUAGGGGAGCAAACAGGAUUAGAUACCCUAGUAGUCC
rnacentral:rRNA from 1 species